CGGGGCGUAGUAUAACGGUAGUACUCAGACUUUGGGAGUCUGUAGCCUGGGUUCAAUUCCCAGCGCCCCGA
rnacentral:tRNA from 1 species